rnacentral:lncRNA from 1 species
CAGGUGCCUGUCGAAGGACGACGCGGAGAGGAGUCCCCUGUUCUCCUCGGCGCGCCUGAUGAGGUAGGGGAUGAUCUGCUCCACGGGCCCGUACGGCAGGUACUUGCUCACCUGGAACCCGGCGUUGCGGAGGCUCAGCGACAGCCCGUCCGCCAUGCCCAUCAGCUGCGCGAACUGCAGGUUCCGGUCUCCCCUGGGGAUCCCGAGCUCCUGCGCGCGCGCCGCCGCCAGCUUCCCGGACUCCACGUUGUGGGUGGCGAGCAUCACGGAGGCGGUGCCCCGGCGGACGCGGUCCAGGAGGAAACCCGCGCAGCCGUUGUAGCAGUCGUGG